rnacentral:rRNA from 1 species
UACGUAGGGUGCAAGCGUUGUCCGGAAUUAUUGGGCGUAAAGAGCUCGUAGGCGGUCUGUCGCGUCUGCUGUGAAAACUCAGGGCUUAACCCUGAGCUUGCAGUGGGUACGGGCAGACUAGAGUGCGGUAGGGGAGACUGGAAUUCCUGGUGUAGCGGUGAAAUGCGCAGAUAUCAGGAGGAACACCGGUGGCGAAGGCGGCAUCCUGGACCGAUACUG